GACGUAGGGCGCGAGCGUUGUCCGGAUUUAUUGGGCGUAAAGAGCUCGUAGGCGGCUUGUCGCGUCGACCGUGAAAACUUGGGGCUCAACCCCAAGCCUGCGGUCGAUACGGGCAGGCUAGAGUUCGGUAGGGGAGACUGGAAUUCCUGGUGUAGCGGUGAAAUGCGCAGAUAUCAGGAGGAACACCGGUGGCGAAGGCGGGACUCUGGGCCGAUACUGACGCUGAGGAGCGAAAGCGUGGGGAGCAAACAGG
rnacentral:rRNA from 1 species